AGGACAUUCUUCAUAUUUCUACAGUACGAAAGAGAAGCAGCACAGCCAGGCCACAUCCAACACUGCCAAGAGAUGCAGAUGGUGGCAAUGCAGGUUCUUCUUCUGCAAACCCCCCUCCACUAAAGCGCCCAUCACAGGGCUCGGUUAGUGUGGCUAGUAGGCCAACCAAGAGACGCCGGCUUGAGGAUGAAUCUACAGCACCAGCAUCACCACCCCAAUGGCGCAUCUCCGCAGUGUCGGCCCUGCCACCAUUAGCUCUUUUGGCCAGCCCACAAAGUAAGGAUCCACAAUCACCUCAGUUGUCUGACCCAGCCAUCAUCACCGAGGAUGUCCAGCAGGAAAGUGACCAGCAGGAUACUUUCACACUACACCUGCAGGCCAUCGAUCCUACCCAGCCAACCACGACGCAGGACAUACCCCAACCACCCCAAACAUCCCACAGCCCCCAAUUGAGCACAACACCACCCUAGACACAUGGGUCCUGAGUUUUGGAGACAUUGGGCCACACAACAGGAGCAAAGCUAUGCGUACCUCAACACCCACAGCCCCAUCAUCUGCCUAGACUGAGUCGCAACUCAGGCAGACUUAUAGUGCAGGUGGGCAGAAUUGCCAACUCAAUGGAGCAGAUGAGGGCAGACAACAGCCAAAUGCAAGCAAACCUCCAACGCAUCAUGGAUGAACAACAGCGGCAGCACCAAUCCCUAAUCCAGCUAAUACAACACAACCAAAUUAUCAACGACAACCUCUCAAGAAUAAUAGCAAGCAACACUGCCGCUAAUACGCAACUCACUGCAAGCUUAAACAUACUUGGUCAAAGCCUUAAUGUGUUGGCAUCACACCAAGUCAGCUCUAGCUCGGGGACAACUACACCAAGCCAGACCCCAGUUCAAUCCCCAGUUAGACGCUCAAGUCGAACCCGGACCAACGAGCCAGCCCAAUCCUCGGCACCCAGCACACACAAAAAAAAAAAAAU